UACGUAGGUGGCAAGCGUUGUCCGGAUUUACUGGGCGUAAAGAGCGCGCAGGCGGUCGUGCAAGUCGCGUGUGAAAGCUCCCGGCUCAACUGGGAGAGGUCCUUGCAUACUGGCAAACUCGAGGGAGGCAGAGGAAAGUGGAAUUCCCGGUGUAGUGGUGAUAUGCGUAGAUAUCGGGAGGAACACCAGUGGCGAAGGCGACUUCCUGGCCUGUUCUUGACGCUGAGGCGCGAAAGCUAGGGGAGCAAACGGG
rnacentral:rRNA from 1 species